rnacentral:tRNA from 1 species
GGCCUUGUAGUUCAGCCGGUGGAGCGUGCGCGUACAAAGCGUAGGCGGCAUCCAUGCGUAGGUUCGAAUCCCGCCGAGGCUA